ACCUGGGUGGCUCAGUCGGUUGAGCGUCUGACUUCAGCUCAGGCCAUGAUCUCACGGUUUGUGGGUUUGAGCCCCGCAUCGGGCU
rnacentral:tRNA from 1 species